UACGUAGGGUGCGAGCGUUAAUCGGAAUUACUGGGCGUAAAGCGUGCGCAGGCGGUGAGCUGUGUCCGAUGUGAAAGCCCCGGGCUUAACCUGGGAAUGGCAUUGGAAACUGGCUCGCUGGAGUGUGGCAGAGGGGGGUGGAAUUCCGCGUGUAGCAGUGAAAUGCGUAGAGAUCCGGAGGAACACCGAUGGCGAAGGCAGGUCUCUGGGCUGACACUGACGCUCAUGCACGAAAGCGUGGGGAGCAAACAGG
rnacentral:rRNA from 1 species